rnacentral:misc_RNA from 1 species
GAAAUGCGAUAAGUAAUGUGAAUUGCAGAAUUCAGUGAAUCAUCGAAUCUUUGAACGCACAUUGCGCCCGCCAGUAUUCUGGCGGGCAUGCCUGUUCGAGCGUCAUUUCAACCAUCAAGCCCCCGGCUUGUGUUGGGGACCUGCGGCUGCCCGCAGGCCCUGAAAAACAGUGGCGGGCUCGCUGUCACACCGAGCGUAGUAGCAUACAUUCUCGCUCAGGGCGUGCUGCGGGUUCCGGCCGUUAAACAACCUUCAUAACCCAAGGUUGACCUCGGAUCAGGUAGGAAGACCCGCUGAACUUAAGC